AUGAUUUUAAGGUUCAUGUGCGUGCUUUGGAAUUAUUGGAUGAGGCUUUGUUGAGAAGAUAUUCCUAUGCUGAGUUGGACAAAAAUUCACUGCUGGAUUAAUUGUCUGCGUUAUUUGCUUAGUGAUAUCAUUUUUUUUUUCUGCUUGUUUUUUUUAUUGCUACAUGAAUUUGAAUAUUUUUAUGUUAAAUUAAAUAAUGUAAUUGACCAAAUGAAAUUUCUAGUUGUGAAAGAGCUUCAUGUUGUUUUUCCCCUCUUAAAAGUUUAGACAUGGAAACUAGCAUGAUUUCUUCUUCACAUGCUUAGAGAAUAAUUAGGUUAAAUUUUAUGUGGUAGUAUAAUAUACGCAUUCAUUCUAAUGAUAUUUUACAUUUCUCUUUGAUAAUUGCAUGAAAUUUUUGAAAUUCUAAGUCAUUCCUAAGUUCUUGUCAUUUAUGAUUCAUGCAAAAGAUUCAUUUAUGAUUACAUGACUCUAUUCAAGAUUAAAACCUACUUUCUGUUAGCCAUGAGAUUAUAAUUGAUAUAGUAAACCUGGUCAUUUAUUCAAACCAUGGUGUUCAACUAUUGUAAGUUUGUCUCAAACUCAAGUAAAACUAGUAUUCUUUUUUUUCCCAUUCUAGAGAUAUUCUCAGGACUGUUGAUUGAAAAUUGGCUGUCAUAGGUGAGAGACUAGUAAAUGACGAAGGAGUAUUUAUUAAGGAGAAAAUAAUGGGAAGAAUCCACUUUAGUGUUGCGUUCGGUAUCCAAGGGAACUAAAUUAUUUACUUCUAUUUUAAUAGCAUUUGAAACAAUUAUAACUGCACUUUAAUGAUAUUUUAGAAUGAAUCUACUGCUGAAUUCAUAGAACUUUUUUUUUUUUUACUGUGAUUUGUAAUACUGCAUAGUAUUUUAGAAUGAAUCUAUUGCUGAAUGCAUUGAACUUUUUUUUUACCGUGAUUUGUAAUACUGCAUGGUGUAUGGUUUCAAUUGCAAAACAAGUUUCAUUUGGAUGUUGGGUUUAGCCUACAGUGUGGCUGAUUUUGAAUGGCAGAAUUUAAUAGUUUUGUAGACAUAGGAUGCCAAAAUACACCACUUUCUCUUUAAUUAAUCAAAGUAAACAAUUUAAUUAAAGUGCAAUCAGAAAAUUAUGUUCUAUCUUUUGGCUUCAAUAAUGUGCAUCAAAUCAUUACAUUAACAUUAUAUUCCACAUUUGGUGCGUAAACAACGCAUGAUUUCCAUGAAUAUAAUUUCAAGCUCAUUGCUACUAUAGUCCUUGUCCCAAGAUAUGUUGGAUAAUGAAGCAAUGGUUCUAGCAAAUUUGGUUUCUAGAGUUGGCCACAUCUCAAUGCUUCUUGUCUAAAUGUCUGUAGAGUGUGAACAACCCUAUUUUGAAGGAGAUUCUUCACAGCGGCAACAUAUCGAAAACUGCCUGUGUUUUUGUUUACUGCCUCAUCACUCCCCUACUGGAAGAAACUGUUUACAGAGGAUUUCUGUUGACGUCUCUUGCCUCCACAAUGAACUGGCAGAAAGCAGUUUUUGUAAGUUCAGCUGUUUUUAGUGCAGCUCACUUUUCUGGUGAGAAUUUUUUACAAUUGUUUAUAAUUGGAUGGAUCCUUGGAUGCUGUUACUGCUGGACUGGAAACUUGAGUUCAUCCAUUGCUAUACAUUCCUUGUACAAUGCAAUGAUACUGAUUGUAACUUUUGUAUCUUAACCAUAAAGUAAUGAAUGAAAGUCAUUUUCACCCAUAUGCACAAGGUUCUCUUUGAUCUAGACAUGGUGGAAUUCAUGAAGCUUCCCACAUGGAUCACUGGCCAUUUUAAGGAGACAAAAUAAUUGUUGAUUUGGUCCAUAUAAUCAUACUCAUUUCAGAAAUUCAUUUGUCUAGCCUUUUGUCACCCUCCUCUGCCUGUAC
rnacentral:misc_RNA from 1 species